rnacentral:rRNA from 1 species
AUUCCAGCUCCAAUAGCGUAUACUAAAGUUGUUGCAGUUAAAAAGCUCGUAGUUGAAUUUCUGGUCGUGGCAAUCGGUCAGCCCCUCACGGGGUUCGUACCAGGUUGCUGCGUCCAUCCUCGGGGAGAGCACAUCGGGCAUUCAGUUGUCUGGUGUGGGAUCCUCGUCAUUUACUGUGAGCAAAAUAGAGUGUUCAAAGCAGGCUUAGGCCGUUGAAUACAUUAGCAUGGAAUAAUAAGAUAGGACCUUGGUCUAUUUUGUUGGUUUGCAUUCCAAGGUAAUGAUUAAUAGGGAUAGUUGGGGGUAUUCGUAUUCAAUUGUCAGAGGUGAAAUUCUUGGAUUUAUGGAAGACGAACUACUGCGAAAGCAUUUACCAAGGAUGUUUUCAUCG